rnacentral:lncRNA from 1 species
AAUCGAUGGUCGGGAUUUAAACUUAAUAGAUAUUUUGUUGCCUUGGCUUGUUAAAGAAGUUUUGGAUCAUUUACCAAACAUAUGACUUACCACACGUUUUUGUAAGAGAGGGCAGUGUCUUUAGGUGGUGGGGGGUUAUUUCAAAAGGAGGCUGGUCUUUAUUUUCUCUCUGCUCGACAGAAAACUCUCCUCCAUUUUUGGUUCCUUAAGGUGGCGGUUUGAAGGGGUUCUUUGCUGGUUUUCUCUCUCUCUCUUGGAAGGUGAUUUGCAAGUCGUGGAGGGCUGUUCCUGAGCCUGUAAAAUCAGCCAUAAGGAGGAGAAGAAGCUGCUGAAAGGAGGAAGCAGAAGCUGUCCAGAUUCGGCCAUAUGGGUUGUGUUAUUUCCAGUUUCGUAUUUUCUUGGUUUUGCCUUAGAAUUUCUUCUAUUGAUUGAUGUUUUGGUUGAUUGAACUCCCAGGAUCCCCAACAAACUGGUAUCAGAG